UACGGAGGGGGCUAGCGUUGUUCGGAAUUACUGGGCGUAAAGCGCACGUAGGCGGCUUUGUAAGUUAGAGGUGAAAGCCCGGGGCUCAACUCCGGAAUUGCCUUUAAGACUGCAUCGCUAGAAUUGUGGAGAGGUAAGUGGAAUUCCGAGUGUAGAGGUGAAAUUCGUAGAUAUUCGGAAGAAACACCAGUGGCGAAGGCGACUUACUGGACACAUAUUGACGCUGAGGCACGAAAGCGUGGGGAUCAAACAGG
rnacentral:rRNA from 1 species